GGGCGAUGGGAGAGUACUUGCACAAGGUUCUUUUUUUGUCACAUUGUAGUACUAGGAUUCUUUUGUUGCUGGACCAUGUGCGUGGGAGUGUUGUUUUUCCAGGAGGGCCUCAUGGGGGAAUUGUUCAUCAAUGUCCUGUCGAUAAGGCCGGGCAUCACGUGAAUGUUGUAUGGGCACGUUGGUGCGCAGGGGGCCCUGUCAUGCGUUCAUGGGUGCUUACUGUAGCGUCUUGGAGGGUAGCCAGUUUUGCU
rnacentral:lncRNA from 1 species